ACAAAUGGAGUUCCUCUCUUGAGAUCAUAUUGAUGAUCCAAGUAGCUCUCAUCCUUUGGAAUAAGCAAGCAAAUAUGUGUAUACUCAAGCAAUCAAUCAAUCAAUCAAGCAAAGCUCUUAGGAAUCUUCCAAUGGCUCUUAGAUCUCUCUCUUUAGAUGAACAUGACAAUGGUUCUUCAAUUUGGCUCAAAUAGGAAUCCCUAGCACAAAAGCACAC
rnacentral:lncRNA from 1 species